rnacentral:rRNA from 1 species
AUUGAACGCUGGCGGCAGGCCUAACACAUGCAAGUCGAACGAGUGGCGGACGGGUGAGUCAUGUCUGGGAAACUGCCCGCUGGAGGUGGAUAACUACUGGAAACGGUAGCUAAUACCGCAUACCAUCGGAUGUGCCCAGAUGGGAUGAGCUUGUAGGUGAGGUAACGGCUCACCUAGGCGACGAUCCCUAGCUGGUCUGAGAGGAUGACCAGCCACACUGGAACUGAGACACGGUCCAGACUCAUACGGGAGGCAGCAGUGGGGAAUAUUGCACAAUGGGCGAAAGCCUGAUGCAGCCAUGCCGCGGGUAUGAAGAAGGCCUUCGGGUUGUAAAGGACUUUCAGCGGGGAGGCGUUACCCGCAGAAGAAGCACCGGCUAACUCCGUGCCAGCCGCCGCGGUAAUAC